rnacentral:rRNA from 1 species
AAUCAACGCUGGCGGCGUGCCUAACACAUGCAAGUCGAACGCGAAAGCCCCGCAAGGGGUAAGUAGAGUGGCAAACGGGUGGGUAACACGUGGGUGACCUGCCUUCGAGUGGGGGAUAACGUCCCGAAAGGGACGCUAAUACCGCAUGACAUCCUGCUUUUGAAAAAGCGGAGAUCAAAGCUGGGGAUCGCAAGACCUAGCGCUUGAAGAGGGGCCCGCGCCUGAUUAGCUAGUUGGUGAGGUAACGGCUCACCAAGGCGACGAUCAGUAUCCGGCCUGAGAGGGCGGACGGACACACUGGGACUGAGACACGGCCCAGACUCCUACGGGAGGCAGCAGUGGGGAAUUGUUCGCAAUGGGCGCAAGCCUGACGACGCAACGCCGCGUGGAGGACGAAGAUCUUCGGGUCGUAAACUCCUGUCGAGCGGGACGAACGCUUCGCGGAUGAAUAAUCCGCGGAAUUGACGGUACCGCUAAAGGAAGCCCCGGCUAACUCCGUG